GGCGGCGAGGCGCUGCUGCGGCGCUGCGCUGAGCUGGCCCUGGUGCGCUUGGCCCCGCUCCUGGCCGCCUGCGUGUGGCAGCGGCAGCCGUUCCGCCUGCGGUACGUGCCGGGCCGCGGCGAGAUCCCGGCGCACUUGGGCGGCACCGCGGAGUUCGGGGAUAACGUGGAGGAUGAGUGGUUCAUUGUGUAGCUGCUGCGGGAGAUGAGCAGGGAGUUGCCGGGGCUGGCAGCCAGGCUCAUGGCUUUCAAAUGUUGUGCUCCAAGAGCAGCAAAGUGGCUCCUGAUGCCAAGGGAAACGUGUUAAGAGGUCCUCUGUGGGAGAGAUUCCUCAGGAGCUUGAAGGAGAAGGAUUAUUUCAAGGACUGGCCCUUUGCUAUAUUGAGUUCCAAGUGCAGAUGGCAAAGACCAACGCUGGGAAAAGUUUCAGCAGCCACAUAGAGGGGCAAGUUCUGUUGGAGCAGCCCCAUGUGAGAGUGCUGGCCCUGACUGUGGAGCUGAGGCUGCUGAGCUGGCAGCCCUGGAUGUGGACAUGAACCUGGUGGCAAAGCUGCUCGAGUCCUACAGUGCCCAGGCUGGCCUGGCAGGACCCACCUCGAGCAUUUUACAGAGCCUGGGGGUGAAUUUACCUGAGAGCACAGAGCUCACUGGCAGCUGAGCAAGGCAGGGAGAGCCUUGGCACCAGACAUGGCUGCUUGGGAGAUGGAGCACACACACACGAGCAGGAUGGGGGAGAAGAGGCCAAAGGUUUGAAUUUGGAGCAUUCUGUUCAUUAUGUGUCACUCCAGCAGAGUGAAUUCACCUGCAAAAGCUUCUGUUUGCACACUGUCUUGGGUGGAAAUGAGAUUUUCCCAGCGCUAGCACAAUUCCAGAAAACUGGAAAAUUAUGUUGAAUGCAUGACUCAAAUGAUGUUUUCUU